CAGCCGUAAACUAUGCGCGUUAGGUGUAUCGGUGACCACGAGUCACCGAGGUGCCGAAGGGAAACCGUGAAACGUGCCGCCUGGGAAGUACGGUCGCAAGGCUGAAACUUAAAGGAAUUGGCGGGGGAGCACCACAACAGGUGGAGCCUGCGGGUUUAAUUUGGACUCAACGCCGGGAAGCUCACCGGAUAGGACAGCAGAAUGAUUGCCGGGCUGAAGACCCUGCGUGACUAGCUGAGAGGUGGUGCAUGGCGUCAGUGACU
rnacentral:rRNA from 1 species